AGCGAACGCUGGCGGCAGGCCUAACACAUGCAAGUCGAACGGAUCCUUCGGGAUUAGUGGCGGACGGGUGAGUAACACGUGGGAACGUGCCCUUUGGUUCGGAACAACUCAGGGAAACUUGAGCUAAUACCGGUUGUGCCCUUCGGGGGAAAGAUUUAUCGCCAUUGGAGCGGCCCGCGUCUGAUUAGCUAGUUGGUGAGGUAACGGCCCACCAAGGCGACGAUCAGUAGCUGGUCUGAGAGGAUGAUCAGCCACACUGGGACUGAGACACGGCCCAGAAUCCUACGGGAGGGAGCAGUGGGGAAUCUUGCGCAAGGGGCGAAAGCCUGACGAAGCCAUGCCGCGUGAAUGAUGAAGGUCUUAGGAUUGUAAAAUUCUUUCAGCGGGGACGAUAAUGACGGUACCCGCAGAAGAAGCUCCGGCUAACUUCGUG
rnacentral:rRNA from 1 species